UGAUGUUGUGAAUAUUUUAAACUAGCCGCCAUGUGGUUUCGGAUUGCCGGGGUCCACCAGGGCUCCCCAGUGAGUGACAGACACAUGAGUGAAGUGCACGUCGUCUCAGAGUGGCUCCUCGGCAUUUUUUUUUUCUUAUCUUCCCUCCUUCCAUAGUGAUUACAUACACACGAGGAUAAAGAUACAGUGAAUGUGGUGAUGGUUUCACUGUCAUUAUAAAUAGUGAAAUGAGGCAUCCUUAUGAAUAUUAGAAUUUACAUGUAACACUUCCGUGAGUUCCAAAUAAUCCAUUGAAUUAUAUAAGAGCUGUUAAAAAUUUGCUAUCUGGAACAAAGUUCCAAGUAGCACGGGCUAUGGUGAGCCCGUAGUAAUAUAAGAGACUGAUUAUACUCUGGAAAAACCAGCCAAGUGCCUUCAGAGCACGAUGGCUAGGUAAUUGUCCAACCUGUCCUCAUAACCUGCCUCAAGGGACAAAAUAAAGCCUACUAAAACUUUAGAACCUAACUAAACCUUACAAGGAAUACGAGGACACUGGCUAGCUACUUGGACCAUCGGGGAUCGAACGCCGACGCUGCAAAAUACAAUGUAGCAGCUAGUAAAAAAAAAUCGUCCGAAAAGGUAAGAUGGAGGAGCCGCGCCUGCACAAGGAUCAACUGGGCACAUGCCAGAGACAAGAGGCGAGUCAACGUGCAAUACUCAAAGAUGGCCACAGUUACGCCAGCUUCUGAAGCAGGUGUUAAUGGCUGCCGCUGCCAAGGUGGGGACCCAGGCAUCUAGCAAGUUAUGUUCUUGAUUAGCAGCCACCUGCUUCUCUAGACAGUCACAUGUCAUCCAGCCACGAAUCUAAAGG